rnacentral:rRNA from 1 species
CUCCCGCCGGCGACCGGCGCACGGGUGAGUAACACGUAUGAAACCUGCCCGUAGCAGGGGGAUAAGCGGAAGAAAUUCCGUCUAAUACCGCGUAACAACCCAUGGAGGCAUCUCUGUGGGUUUAAAGGAAGCGAUUCCGGCUACGGAUGGUCAUGCGUCGCAUUAGCUUGUUGGCGGGGUAACGGCCCACCAAGGCGACGAUGCGUAGGGGUUCUGAGAGGAAGGUCCCCACACUGGUACUGAGACACGGACCAGACUCCUACGGAAGGCAGCAG